CAAACACAUUUUUUAGGAAUGUUUGAUACAUGGAUCGAAAUUAUUCACAUUCAUAGAAAUGCAAAUGUAUAAACCUGCAAAUCUGCUGCUUGUGAUUUAAAUCAAGUUGAAUUUGAUCGCUUUUCGAAAUUUUUUGGAUCGCGAAAGUUCAGAUAGCUAUGUUCUCUCUUCGGACCGCACCCUUUGGAAUCCAGGUCUGAUGUCAAAUACAACUAUUGAUAUAAAUUGAAAAAUGAAGGGAGGUUUAGGAAAUCUGAAUCUGAUGAAGGGAGGCGUUAAAAACAGUUUUCGCCUGCAGCUCAAAUCACUCUUCGUCCGCCUCUGUGUACAGCGUAAAGUUGAAAAGUAUUGCAGUUUUAGAAAUAUCUUGCAUUCAUUCCUAGGGUCCAAUGAAAAACAAUAAGAAAGCAAACUAUUUUACUACCGGAAACACCCGACUUUGCAGUGUAAGUAAAUAAGAAAAUAAUUGCAAGUGAUGAAUAAAAUUUAUUUUUUUGUCAUUAUGAAUAGCUUCAUGUUAAUUACGAGCGAGAUCUGUACGCGGCCGUAGUCACAGGAAGCUGAGGUCUAUACCGGGUGCGCUUGAAGCUUCCAAUGCCGAACUUGAGUGAAACAUACCAGCACGAGAGCAUGAAAGAGAGACUGCUGCUGCUGGACUACUGCUGCUGUUGGGACCACUGUUGCUGCUGGGACUAUUGCUACUGCUGCUGGGACUAUUGCUACUGCUGCUGGGACUGCUGCCGAGUUGUUGCCUCCAAGCAGUUCUGUGGAAACUCUAGGUACAACUAUUACUACAUGGUCCAACGAUCAACUGUAAAGCUCAGAAAUAUUCAAAGGGAUCGGUAAACUUGCUUCAGCGGGAGAACCUGGACUGAUUCGAAAAAUUAAGCGAUUGCGACAUCGAUCGGGCAAGCAAGCCUACACAAUCGGAACGCAGCAUUCAUACAC